CGAGUGGCGGACGGGUGAGUAAUGUCUGGGAAACUGCCCGAUGGAGGGGGAUAACUACUGGAAACGGUAGCUAAUACCGCAUAACGUCGCAAGACCAAAGAGGGGGACCUUCGGGCCUCUUGCCAUCGGAUGUGCCCAGAUGGGAUUAGCUAGUAGGUGGGGUAACGGCUCACCUAGGCGACGAUCCCUAGCUGGUCUGAGAGGAUGACCAGCCACACUGGAACUGAGACACGGUCCAGACUCCUACGGGAGGCAGCAGUU
rnacentral:rRNA from 1 species